rnacentral:rRNA from 1 species
AUCUGGGCGGCGGAAUUCAGGAUGGCGAGCGCGUCUUCGCGGCGCGUUCGUCGUUUGAUAUUUCCGUCGCCGACUCACCCGCAGACGUCGCGACCUGUUCGCGGUCGGUCCCUGCUCGGAGGAGUCACGUUCGAGUUCGUUGUGUGCGCGUUUCUGCGCGUUUCACGGCGAAGGCGUGAAUCUCUGGCUGGCCGUCGGACAGUACGUUCAACGGUGUCCGACGUGGUCGUCUCGUACGCGCGCACGUCGGUACCGGUCGGCGACGAAUUCUUCGGGCCUCUUUCCGACCCGUCUUGAAACACGGACCAAGGAGUCUAACAUGCGCGCGAGUCGCGGGGUGUCGAGCGUACUACGGUGCGUUCGUUACGUUGCGAAACCCGUACAUGUCGAAGGCGUAAUGAAAGUAAAUGGGGAAGAUGGUGUUCCGAGUACACGUUCCGCGGCCAUUGGUGCCGCGGCCGGACACCCGCAUUCCCGGGGCGUCUCAACGGCCCGUCGUAGAUGCGGAUCGCCGUCUCUCGGGGCGGUGGGUCGGUCCGCGACGAACCGA